rnacentral:miRNA from 1 species
AAUACAGGAUGCCCAGUUGAACUUGAAUUUCAGAUGAACCAAUGAGUAAUCUUUUAGUGUAAGUACGUCCCAUGCAAUAUUUGGUACAUACUUAUACUAAAAAUUUUUUGUAGUUUUAUUUGAAAUUCACAUUAACCAGUCAUCCUGUAUUUU